GAAAGAGAUCACAAUGUGGACUUGAUCUCACAAUCAGACCAUGACCUGAGCUGAAAACAAGGGUUGGAUACUCAACCAGCUGAGCCACUCAGGCGCCCCUAAAUCCCAUGUUUCAGUUAAGAGUAAAAGGCAUCUAUGUUUCUUCAUUCUCAACUUCUGAUCAUCACCAAGCUGAUGGAAAAAGGAACGUAGAUUUCUUUGAAAAGAGGAAGUGGAGAUCAGAGUGACUUUGAGCCCCUGAGAUGUCGCUUGAUUUCCCAGUUUUACACUGGGAGCUGGAUUUGCAAUUGUUAAUAUAACUACCCACAGUUGACUAGAGUCAUCAAAACUAUGAGUAUUCUUUUUCUUUUUCUUUCUUUUUUGCCCAUUCUACAUUGACUUGUUUUAUUAUUGAUUGUUGAGGUUCUUUACA